GAAAUGCGAUAAGUAAUGUGAAUUGCAGAAUUCAGUGAAUCAUCGAAUCUUUGAACGCACAUUGCGCCCGCUAGUAUUCUGGCGGGCAUGCCUGUUCGAGCGUCAUUUCAACCCUUAAGCCCUGUUGCUUAGUGUUGGGAGCCUACUGCCCUGUAGCUCCCCAAAGUUAUUGGCGGAGUCGGUCACACACUCUGGAUGUAGUAAUUUUUUCUCGUCUAUAGUUGGGCCGGUCCCCUGCCGUAAAACCCCCCAUCUCAAAGGUUGACCUCGGAUCAGGUAGGAAUACCCGCUGAACUUAA
rnacentral:misc_RNA from 1 species